rnacentral:miRNA from 1 species
GGUAUGGAGUCUGCUGGUAUCCAUGAGACAGCAUACAACAGCAUCAUGAAAUGCGACAUUGACAUCCGUAAGGACCUGUACGCC